rnacentral:rRNA from 1 species
AGAAUCAACGCUGGCGGCGUGCCUAACACAUGCAAGUCGAACGAGAAAGUGGAGCAAUCCAUGAGUACAGUGGCGCACGGGUGAGUAACACGUGACUAACCUACCCUUGAGUGGGGAAUAACCUGGAGAAAUCUAGGCUAAUACCGCAUAACACCUACGGGUCAAAGGAGCAAUUCGCUUAAGGAGGGGGUCGCGGCAGAUUAGCUAGUUGGCGGGGUAAUGGCCCACCAAGGCAGUGAUCUGUAUCCGGCCUGAGAGGGCGCACGGACACACUGGAACUGAAACACGGUCCAGACUCCUACGGGAGGCAGCAGUGGGGAAUUUUGCGCAAUGGGGAAACCCUGACGCAGCAACGCCGCGUGGAGGAUGAAGUCCCUUGGGACGUAAACUCCUUUCGACCGGGAAGAUAAUGACGGUACCGGAAGAAGAAGCCCCGGCUAACUUCGUGCCAGCAGCCGC